GACAGAGGGGGCAAGCGUUGCUCGGAAUUACUGGGCGUAAAGGGCGCGUAGGCGGGAUGGCAAGUCGGUCGUGAAAUCCUUCGGCUCAACCGAAGAACGUCGGCCGAUACUGCCGUUCUUGAGGGAUGCAGAGGAGAUUGGAAUUCCCGGUGUAGCGGUGAAAUGUGUAGAGAUCGGGAAGAACACCGGUGGCGAAGGCGGCCUGCUGGGCAGUAGCUGACACUGAGGCGCGACAGCGUGGGGAGCAAACAGG
rnacentral:rRNA from 1 species